GUUGUUGUAAUAAAGUGGUAAGUAUUCUCGCCUGUCACCCGGGAGACCCGGGUUCGAUCUCCGGCAACGGCU
rnacentral:tRNA from 1 species